AAGCACAUAGCACAAAGGUAGUGCAAUUCACUUCGGAUGAACCGAUGCCAGUUCGACUCUGGCUGUGCUUC